rnacentral:rRNA from 1 species
GACGAACGCUGGCGGCGUGCUUAACACAUGCAAGUCGAACGGUGAAGCGCCUUCCUUUUUGGUGGGUGUGGAUGAGUGGCGAACGGGUGAGUAACACGUGAGUAACCUGCCCCCUUCUUCUGGAUAACCGCAUGAAAGUGUGGCUAAUACGGGAUAUUCUGUGUCUGUCGCAUGAUGGGUCUGGGAAAGAUAUUGUUUCGGUGGGGGAUGGUCUCGCGGCCUAUCAGCUUGUUGGUGGGGUGAUGGCCUACCAAGGCGGUGACGGGUAGCCGGCCUGAGAGGGUGGACGGUCACACUGGGACGGAGACACGGCCCAGACUCCUACGGGAGGCAGCAGUGGGGAAUAUUGCACAAUGGGCGCAAGCCUGAUGCAGCGACGCCGCGUGAGGGAUGGAGGCCUGCGGGUUGUGAACCUCUUUCGCCAGUGAAGCAGGCCUGCCUCGUUUGUGGGUGGGUUGACGGUAGCUGGAUAAGAAGCGCCGGCUAACUACGUG